rnacentral:tRNA from 2 species
CGGGGUGUAGCGCAGUCUGGUAGCGCGUGCGUCUGGGGGACGUGAGGUCGCAGGUUCAAGUCCUGCCACUCCGACCA